rnacentral:rRNA from 1 species
UAAGCGGAGGAGAGAGACUANCAAGGAUUCCCCUAGUANCUGCGAGUGAAGCGGGAAANGCUCAAAUUUAAAUCUGGUGGUCUUUGGCCAUCCGAGUUGUAAUUUAGAGAAGCGACUUCCGCGCUGGACCGUGCACAAGUCUCCUGGAAUGGAGCGUCAUAGAGGGUGAGAAUCCCGUCUUUGGCACGGACACGCCAGGGCUUUUGUGAUGCGCUCUCGAAGAGUCGAGUUGUUUGGGAAUGCAGCUCAAAAUGGGUGGUGAACUCCAUCUAAAGCUAAAUAUUGGCGAGAGACCGAUAGCGAACAAGUACCGUGAGGGAAAGAUGAAAAGCACUUUGGAAAGAGAGUGAAACAGUACGUGAAAUUGUUGAAAGGGAAACGCUUGAAGUCAGUCGCGUCGACCGAGACUCAGCCUUGCCUUGGCUUGGUGUACUUCUCGGCCGACGGGUCAGCAUCAAUUUUGCCCCUUGGAUAAUGGCGAGAGAAAUGUGACACCUUUACGGUGUGUUAUAGUCUCUUGUCGCAUGCAAGGGUCGGGAUUGAGGAACUCAGCACGCGCCUUUGGGUGUCGGGGCUUUUGCCCACGAUACGUGCUUAGGAUGUUGGCGUAAUGGCUUUAAACGACC